rnacentral:lncRNA from 1 species
GUCCAGAGGUCCGCCUGUGGUUUCGGGGUAUUUGGGGUGCCCCUGGAGUGAAGUACGUUCUGUAGCAAGCUGCACCGAAGUGAGAGGACCGUGCUGCAACGGGAGUCAUGGAGGGCCAGAGCGCGGAGAUGCUGCAGGCCAGGUGGAGGUGGAGAAGUUGCAGCGCGCCCGGGUGCACAAAUUGCUGGAGCGGGCAUUCGAGCUUGGCACCCUACCGGCCUCGGACCGCACUCCCCGACAGGCCGAGCUGCGGGCCCUGGCGCGGGACAGCACGCGGCUGCUCAUCACCCAGCGGUGGCUGCUGCCGACCGUGCGCGGGAGGAGGAGGUGGUAGCGCGCUUGCCGGUGCCCGCCACUCGCCUGCCCCGCGGGAAGCCGCUGUCCCGGCCACGGCCGCUCACCCGCUGGCAGCAGUUCGCGCAUCACAAGGGCAUCCAUCCAAGAAGAUCACCUUCAUGUGGGACGAGGUGAGUGGCCGGUGGAGGUGCUGAUGGGGCUGCAAGCUCGUCCGGAACCACACCAAGGAAUGGCUGAUCAACGUGCCUGGGGGCACCGACCCCAUGGAAGACUGGUUCGCCAAGCAGAUUUAGGCCAAGGAGGAACGCGUGGCCAAGAACGAGCUAAAGCGGCCGCGGAACCUGGCCCGAGUGUACAAGAUGCAGAUGCCCAACUCAGUCGGCCUGCACCCUACGGGACACCAGAGUAAGGAGGAGCUGGUCUGUGCCCUGCAAGUGGGUAGUGACUCCACCGCUGCAGUGGGACGCUUCCAGGAGCGCCUCCCCAAGAAGAAGACUCCGGGAAGAAGAGAAAGUUUCGGUCCCUCUUUGAGGACUUUGUGGCCGAGAAAAUGACCAGUUGGAGCUACUAAAAGUCAAGAACAGCAAGAAGCCCCAGCAGGAUGUGAGGGGGUGCACCAACAAGCAGAUGAGAGGAGGAAAAUGAGCCAGAAAGGCAAGAGAAAGGGGAUCCAGCAAAGAAGAGCAGGGGCUGGAGAGAUGGCUCAGCGGUUAAGAGCACUGACCUGCCCUUCCAGAGGUCCUGAGUUCGAUUCCCAGCAACCACAUGGUGGCUAAAUA